UUGCGUCUGGCUUCCCUUACAAUCAAUCAGCUGACGCGUGUGACGCCAGCCGCGUGGACGCGUUUUUGUUUUGUUUUUUUGUUUAGCGCUUACGCGGUCGCCUGCCAGCUACUUGUUUUCAUAAAUACGUGCGAACAUUUCCAGUGUUCGUCAGUAUUAUAACGACCAUCUCGACAUAUUUCGAUCUUAGAACGACAUUCUAACCGGACUGAAUCAUGGCACCCAUCAGAGCGCACGUGGACACUCGGACACGCGAGAACAUGCCAGGGCUUGUCUGAUAUUCAGGGCCUUCGGGACUUCAGCACUAUGGGCAGCAUAUUCCCUAACCAGUUUUUCCCACAUCUUUACCUGGACGGACCUCCUCAAGUAAAGCCGAAGCAUAGUUACAGAGGCAGGGGUUCAUACGCGCGCGUGUUCGCUGUCAACGCUUGACUGACUGCAGAAGUUCCUUACAGAGGAUUCCGACAUGUACUUCAGUGUUAAGUCGUCAUGACUGAACAGGGGCGGAGCUUAAAGACACGGGGAAGGACUGCAGCCUGAGUGAUACUCCCCAAAUACCUGAGUAAAGGCCACGCCCCUCCCCACCUCAUUAAUAAACUCCCAGGUCACUCAGUUGGGAGAGAGCACACCUGUCAGUCUCGGAUCAGAAGCUUUUUAGUCCCAAAGAGAGUCUGAUCCACACCUAGACCUUCAGCUGUCCCACAAGAGACGCCUCGCUCAGAAGAGACUGAAUGUGCCUGCUGCAGCAGAUGCAGAGAUGGAGUUCAUGGAGCAUUUAAUGCGAACCAAGAAAUCUCGGUUGGGCUUCUAAGAAUCAGACUCAAAAGAAGGAAUGCUGCAAGG